rnacentral:rRNA from 1 species
GAUCAUGGCUCAGGAUGAACGCUAGCUACAGGCUUAACACAUGCAAGUCGAGGGGCAGCAUUUUAGUUUGCUUGCAAACUAAAGAUGGCGACCGGCGCACGGGUGAGUAACACGUAUCCAACCUGCCGAUAACUCGGGGAUAGCCUUUCGAAAGAAAGAUUAAUAUCCGAUGGUAUAUUAAAACCGCAUGGUUUUACUAUUAAAGAAUUUCGGUUAUCGAUGGGGAUGCGUUCCAUUAGUUUGUUGGCGGGUAACGG